UACAGAGGUCUCAAGCGUUGUUCGGAUUCAUUGGGCGUAAAGGGUGUGUAGGUGGCGCCGUAAGUCGGGUGUGAAAUUUCGGAGCUUAACUCCGAAACUGCAUUCGAUACUGCGGUGCUUGAGGACUGGAGAGGAGACUGGAAUUCAUGGUGUAGCAGUAAAAUGCGUAGAGAUCAUGAGGAAGACCAGUGGCGAAGGCGGGUCUCUGGACAGUUCCUGACACUGAGACACGAAGGCCAGGGGAGCAAACGGG
rnacentral:rRNA from 1 species